rnacentral:misc_RNA from 1 species
ACAAGGCAGCGCGCCGGCUCGGACGCGGCCGGCUACCGAGCCCUUUGUGAGGGCUGUGAGCUGCGCCUGACGGUGGCACCAUGAGCAGCUCAGGUGGGGCGCCCGGGGCGUCCGCCAGCUCUGCGCCGCCCGCGCAGGAAGAGGGCAUGACGUGGUGGUACCGCUGGCUGUGUCGCCUGUCUGGGGUGCUGGGGGCAGUCUCUUGCGCGAUCUCUGGCCUCUUCAACUGCAUCACCAUCCACCCUCUGAACAUUGCGGCCGGCGUGUGGAUGAUGAGGAGGAUAAAGGGAAGCAGAAGCCCAGGGGCUUCCCUCUAGGAGUGUUCAGUUCAGCUGGGGAGAUGGGUGUGCAGGAGCAGCUGGGGAGUGCUGGAGUCUUCAGCAGAGGCUCUCCGAGGGCAUGAAUGCCUUCAUCUUGUUGCUGUGUGAGGCGCCCUUCUGCUGCCAGUUCAUCGAGUUUGCAAACACAGUGGCGGAGAAGGUGGACCGGCUGCGCUCCUGGCAGAAGGCUGUCUUCUACUGCGGGAUGGCGGUCGUUCCCAUCGUCAUCAGCCUGACCCUGACCACGCUGCUGGGCAACGCCAUCGCCUUUGCUACGGGGGUGCUGUACGGACUCUCUGCUCUGGGCAAAAAGGGCGAUGCGAUCUCCUAUGCCAGGAUCCAGCAGCAGAGGCAGCAGGCGGAUGAGGA